UCCCUGGUGGUCUAGUGGUUAGGAUUCUAGGCUUUAAAUGCCGUGACCCAGGUUCAAUCCCUGGUUGGGGAA
rnacentral:tRNA from 1 species